CCGUUGGUCAAAAGGAUGAAAAUCCUUUGACCAAUAACUUAAGGACCUAAGGGUGUUCUAUUAUAAAAAGAGAGGACACCCCUUUAUCCAUUGGAUAAAAGGGGUGCUCAAUUUUUUGUAUAAAUAGGUGGUGGGAGGACACAUUUGGAACACACAUUUUUAUUUAUUUUUUCCUCUCUUUCAAAAUACACAUAUUUAUUUUUUAUCAACCACGCACAUAUUCAUAAAUAUACAAGCAUAUUUUAUUUAUUCCAUUUUUCUCUUCAAAUCACACACAAAAAUAUAUAUAAAAACACACAAACACACGCAUACAUAGAAAACAACCUCCAUUUUUGUUUCAUUUUUUACCAUCAACAACAAUGACACACAUAUAAAUAUAUUUAUAGACGCCUACUACAUAGUUUUCAUUUUUAAGCUUUCGUCUUCUCCGUAGAUACCAACAGUUCAUCCGUUCUCAUGCGUCACCUCCACACGGUUUUCUUCCCCGAAACAGCCGCCCAACAAUACCACCCCCACGCUACAAGCUUUCCCUUUACGUCUCGCCGUAAGCUCGCCGGAGGUGAUGACCAGUGAGCAUCGAAUUUCUUCCCAGAUCUGCCGCCAUCAACCACUACAACAGCCGCCAUCAACACCGAGAAACAUCCACGAGCCGCCUCUUUUCUCUAAUAUUUUUCUUUUACUACACAGAUCUGGUCAAAGCCGUUUGGAUGGAUAUUGGAAUUAAUUAGAUAAUAUGUUUGUCUCUGUUUGCUUUGCUAUUUUAUUAUCACUGUUAUUGAUCAUUUUUUUUUUUGCCUUGAGUUUGCUGUUGUUGGAGUGAUUUUUUGGAUGAUUUUUGUUCUUCUCAUUUAUUUACACUGAUAGUGAAUGGAUACUGCACACUUGGCCAAUGAAAAAAGUAUUAUUGAUUUUGAGGCCUUCAUAAAUAAAAGACGGAUUUUACGUAUACAAAUACGUAAUAAAAAAUAUUUUAUGGGUGAUGAUAAAACUUUAUAACAAUACAAGAUUUUACAAUUCAGAUUUUGACAAGACGAUUUAGGACGGCCAAUUAAUUGAGCAACCANNNNN
rnacentral:lncRNA from 1 species